GGAAGAGCUCAAAUUUAUAAUCUGGCACCUUCGGUGUCCGAGUUGUAAUCUCUAGAAGUGUUUUCCGCGUUGGACCGCACACAAGUCUGUUGGAAUACAGCGGCAUAGUGGUGAAACCCCCGUAUAUGGUGCGGACGCCCAGCGCUUUGUGAUACACUUUCAAUGAGUCGAGUUGUUUGGGAAUGCAGCUCAAAUUGGGUGGUAAAUUCCAUCUAAAGCUAAAUAUUGGCGAGAGACCGAUAGCGAACAAGUACCGUGAGGGAAAGAUGAAAAGCACUUUGGAAAGAGAGUUAACAGUACGUGAAAUUGUUGGAAGGGAAACGCUUGAAGUCAGACUUGCUUGCCGGAGCUUGCUUCGGUUUGCAGGCCAGCAUCAGUUUUCCGGGGUGGAUAAUGACGGUUUGAAGGUAGCAGUCUCGGCUGUGUUAUAGCUUUCCGUUGGAUACGCCCUGGGGGACUGAGGAACGCAGCGUGCUUUUUGCGAAAGACUCGUCUUUUUCACGCUUAGGAUGCUGGUGGAAUGGCUUUAAACGAC
rnacentral:rRNA from 1 species